rnacentral:rRNA from 1 species
AUGGACGACCAUUGUGGCCUGGUCCCACCUGUUCCCAUUUCGAACACAGAAGUGAAAUAGGCCAACGUCCUGCUGUGGUACUGCUUUUCAAGCGGGAAGCUCAGGAAGUUGUCCAUC